rnacentral:rRNA from 1 species
GACGAACGCUGGCGGCGUGCUUAACACAUGCAAGUCGAACGGAAAGGCCCCUUUGGGGGUACUCGAGUGGCAAACGGGUGAGUAACACGUGAGUAACCUGCCCUUGACUUCGGGAUAACUUCAGGAAACUGGGGCUAAUACCGGAUAGGAAUCCUUGCUGCAUGGUGGGGGUUGGAAAGCUUCGGCGGUUUUGGAUGGACUCGCGGCUUAUCAGCUUGUUGGUGGGGUAGUGGCUUACCAAGGCUUUGACGGGUAGCCGGCCUGAGAGGGCGACCGGCCACAUUGGGACUGAGAUACGGCCCAGACUCCUACGGGAGGCAGCAGUGGGGAAUAUUGCACAAUGGGCGGAAGCCUGAUGCAGCAACGCCGCGUGCGGGAUGACGGCCUUCGGGUUGGAAACCGCUUUCAGCAGGGGCGAAGCUUGUGGUGACGGUACCUGCAGAAGAAGCACCGGCUAACUACGUG